AACGAACGCUGGCGGCAUGCCUAACACAUGCAAGUCGAACGAAGGCUUCGGCCUUAGUGGCGCACGGGUGCGUAACGCGUGGGAAUCUGCCCCUUGGUUCGGAAUAACUCAGAGAAAUUUGAGCUAAUACCGGAUGACGACGUAAGUCCAAUGAUUUAUCGCCGAGGGAUGAGCCCGCGUAGGAUUAGCUAGUUGGUGGGGUAAAGGCCUACCAAGGAGACGAUCAUUAGCUGGUCUGAGAGGAUGAUCAGCCACACUGGGACUGAGACACGGACCAGACUCCUACGGGAGGCAGCAGUGGGGAAGAUGGGACAAUGGGCGAAAGCCUGAUCCAGCAAUGCCGCGUGAGUGAUGAAGGCCUUAGGGUUGUAAAGCUCUUUUACCCGGGAUGAUAAUGACAGUACCGGGAGAAUAAGCUCCGGCUAACUCCGUGCCAGCAGCCGCGGUAACAC
rnacentral:rRNA from 1 species